GAUGAACGCUGACGGCAUGCUUAACACAUGCAAGUCUUUGGCGAAUCUGUGCUUGCACAGGUUAGCCCAGGCGGACGGGUGAGUAACGCGUCAGGAGCUUGCUCUGCAUGCAGGUAUAACAGACGGAGACGACUGAUAACACCUCAUACAAUUACCUGCGCGCACGUGGCUGGCAAUGGAAAGGGAUGCUGCAGGAGAGCUUUGCGUCCGAUUAGCUUGUUGGUGAGGUGGCGGCUCACCAAGGCGAUGUUAGGUAGCCGGCCGGAGAGGGUGAACGGCCACAAGGGGACUGAGAUACGGCCCUUACUCCUACGGGAGGAAGCAGGGGGGAAUAUUGGACAAGGGGGGCAACCCUGAUCCAGCAAUUCUGUGUGCACGAAGAAGGUUUUCGGAGUGAAAAGUGCUUUCAGCAGGGAAGAAGAAAGUGACGGUACCUGCAGAAGAAGCGACGGCUAAAUACGUG
rnacentral:rRNA from 1 species